ACCAGAAAAUAGUAAAAUUAGAAACAACAACUCAUCCUUAACUCUCUGUCACGCCACCUUCUCCCCUUCCCAACCUCCCAUCACCUCACUUCCUGCCGGUGCAGCCAUUUCCCGAUCUCGCCGAGCAGCCCACGUUGUCCACCCCAACCCUAAAUUAUCUUACCUUCUUUCCAAUUUCAUACACACCCAUUACGAAAAUCCUUGGAAAUGGAGGUAAUAUGCAAUUUCAAAAUUGUAUUGAUUAAUUGAGAUGUGGAUAUGGAAUGGUUUUAAGCUCAAGUUAGUGUAUAUAGUAUGGAGGGAUCUCACUUGCUGGGAAGUUGCGCGUGUCAAGCCACUUCCCCUUUUGUUGGUAACGUUGAAGUGUUUACAAGUUGCAUGCUUAGGUUAAACUUAUGGUUGUACAUAGGUUGUUUUGGAAAUAUAAGGUUAUGCAACCUUCUUUUUGCUAGUAAGGUGUAUCUAAACCUAUGUUGAACAAGUUAAGGUUACUUUUAUU